rnacentral:rRNA from 1 species
UACAGAGGUGGCAAGCGUUGUUCGGAAUUACUGGGCGUAAAGGGCGCGUAGGCGGUUCGGUAAGUCCUGUGUGAAAUCCCUCGGCUCAACUGAGGAACUGCACGGGAGACUGCCGGGCUUGAGUUCGGGAGAGGGAAGCGGAAUUCCGGGUGUAGCGGUGAAAUGCGUAGAUAUCCGGAGGAACACCGGUGGCGAAGGCGGCUUCCUGGACCGACACUGACGCUGAGGCGCGAAAGCGUGGGGAGCGAACAGG